rnacentral:rRNA from 1 species
GACGAACGCUGGCGGCGUGCUUAACACAUGCAAGUCGAACGGAAAGGCCCUGCUUUUGUGGGGUGCUCGAGUGGCGAACGGGUGAGUAACACGUGAGUAACCUGCCCUUGACUUUGGGAUAACUUCAGGAAACUGGGGCUAAUACCGGAUAGGAGCUCCUGCUGCAUGGUGGGGGUUGGAAAGUUUCGGCGGUUGGGGAUAGACUCGCGGCUUAUCAGCUUGUUGGUGGGGUAGUGGCUUACCAAGGCUUUGACGGGUAGCCGGCCUGAGAGGGUGACCGGCCACAUUGGGACUGAGAUACGGCCCAGACUCCUACGGGAGGCAGCAGAGGGGAAUAUUGCACAAUGGGCGGAAGCCUGAUGCAGCAACGCCGCGUGCGGGAUGACGGCCUUCGGGUUGUAAACCGCUUUCGCCUGUGACGAAGCGUGAGUGACGGUAAUGGGUAAAGAAGCACCGGCUAACUACGUG